rnacentral:rRNA from 1 species
AGCUCCAAUAGCGUAUAUUAAAGUUGUUGCAGUUAAAAAGCUCGUAGUUGGAUCUCGGGUCCAGGCUUGUGGUCCGCUCUUUGGCGGUUACUGCUUGUCCUGACCUAUCUCCCCGGUUGGCCCUUGGUGCUCUUGGUUGAGUGUCUCGGGUGGCCGGAACGUUUACUUUGAAAAAAUUAGAGUGUUCAAAGCAGGCUAACUGCCUGAAUAAUGGUGCAUGGAAUAAUGGAAUAGGACCUCGGUUCUAUUUUGUUGGUUUUCUGAACUGGAGGUAAUGAUUAAGAGGGACGGACGGGGGCAUCCGUAUUGCGGUGUUAGAGGUGAAAUUCUUGGAUCAUCGCAAGACGAACUACUGCGAAAGCAUUUGCCAAGAAUGUUUUCA